CGUGGCGUCGGGUGAGUAUUCGCAGAAUUUUCCCUUUUAGUUCAGCACAAAUUCUUUCAUUGAAAGCAAAAUACUGAAUAGUUUUAAAGGUUAUUUCAUUAUGAAAUUUCCGCUAAAAGAUAAAUCUGUAUAAGAUUAGGUUGUUGGUAAUUUAAAAGCUUACCAAGCCUACGAUCUUUAGUUGGUCUUAGAGGAUGAUCAACCACACUGGAACUGAAAUAAGGUCCAGGCUGACACGUCGGCCAGCAGUGAGGAAUAUUGGACAAUGAACGAAAGUUUGAUCCAGCAAUACUAACUGGGUGAUGACGGCUUAUUUAAGUUGUAAGAUCCUUUAGUUAAAGAAGAUAAUGACAUUAUUUAACUGAAUUUAGUCCUGGCUAAUACUCGUGCCAGCAGCCGCGGUAAUACGGGAAGGGCAAGCGUUAUCCGGCAUGAUUGGGCGUGAAGAGUCCGUAGACUGUAAAGUAAGUUUUUUGUUAAAUUUUAAGACUUAAUCUUAACCCAGCAAUUAAUACUACUUUACUUUGAGUUUAAUACAGAAAAUUAGAAUUUUAUACGAUAGGGGUGAAAUCCGCAGAUAUAUAAAGGAAUGCCGAUAGCGAAGGCAAAUUUUUGGUAUAAACUGACGUUGAGGGACGAAAGUGUGGGUAGCAAACAGGAUUAGAGACCCUGGUAGUCCACACCGUAAAUUCUGAGUGCUGUAAUUUAAUUGUAAUAUUUUUAGAUAUUAUUUAGAUUUUCAAGCUAACGCAAUAAGCACUCCGCCUGAAGAGUACGAUCGCAAGGUUGGAACUCAAAGGAAUUGACGGGGGUCUAACACUAGUGGUGGAGCAUGUGGUUUAAUGCGAUAAUCCGCGCAAAACCUUACCGAUUCUUGACAUAUUUAAAUUAUUACGUUGCAUUUGUUUAUGUGCUUAAAGCACGUAAU
rnacentral:rRNA from 1 species